CAUGAAAGUUUUCAUCAAAUAGAUGAUGUUUUUUAAAACCUCUUGGCUAACCUUUUAAUUUUUAAAUACAGACAUAUAUAUUUGAUUUAAUUUUUUUCUGUUCCCUAGUGAACUGAGCACUGCAAAGAUUUCCUUUCCACAGUUCCACCCUCCUGUUCCCUCUGAUGGACCACAGCCCAUAAAACCACCAUCUUGAUGUCACUCUUCCAACAGUUUUGGCCACAUCUCUAUCCACCUUGCAAAAUGACUUCCAGGCCAUGUUCUCUGGCAGCCUCCCCUUCAUCAGAGAAACCUUGCAGCAAGGGAUUGAACUCUGGUCCUUGCACUUGCGCAGCAGGCAGCGAAACCACUGAGCUAAAUCCCUGGUCCUACUUAAGUGAGGCUUUCCAGGAUAGAAGUUGCCUCCCAAGCCUGAGCUCUAAAAUGAGUACAGAUGGUACAGAACUGAACCCAGCCAUCAGAAAGGAGCUGAGCCUGGCCAGUCCUAUAACUUGACACCGAGCCACAGAAAGAAGUUCAACCAAGACCAGCUGAUUUUCAGACAGGACAUACACUCCUGAGUUAAGCUGAUGCUUAUCUUGUAUACC
rnacentral:lncRNA from 1 species